rnacentral:rRNA from 1 species
ACGGAAGGCAGCAGUGGGGAAUAUUGGGCAAUGGGGGAAACCCUGACCCAGCAACGCCGCGUGAAGGAAGAAGGCCCUCGGGUUGUAAACUUCUUUUACCAGGGACGAUAAUGACGGUACCUGGAGAAGAAGCAACGGCUAACUACGUGCCAGCAGCCGCGGUAAUACGUAGGUUGCAAGCGUUGUCCGGAUCUACUGGGUGUAAAGGGCGUGUAGGCGGAACUGCAAGUCAGAUGUGAAAUCCCGGGGCUCAACCCCGGAACUGCAUUUGAAACUGUAGUCCUUGAGUAUCGGAGAGGCAAGCGGAAUUCCUAGUGUAGCGGUGAAAUGCGUAGAUAUUAGGAGGAACACCAGUGGCGAAGGCGGCUUGCUGGACGACAACUGACGCUGAGGCGCGAAAGCGUGGGGAGCAAACAGGAUUAGAUACCCUGGUA